GAGUGGAAACCAGAAGGAAAGAGAAAAUAAUGACUAGGUAAGUCAACCAGAGAAACUCUAUGCAUAUAAGGUGGAAGAACUAAGGCCACAGGGUCCAUCUGUCUCUUUACUUCCCUGUGCACUCCACUCUGAGAUGUGAGCAAGGCACAGAACACCUGUGCCUCUGUGGAAGAUGCUCAGCCAAACCUUGUAUCAUCUCCAGUGCCAGACACAGCUCUAUCCACUGUGUGCAAGCACAUAUGGACAAACACUCAAAAGAGAACAUUUUAAAAAAUCUUCCUGCACAGACCAUGUCAGCCCAACAGCACAUGGAAAUGCUUUGGAAAUACAUUUUGAAAAAUAUUUUCUGUUUUGCUCUUGCCUGGUGGCUAUGCAGACUAUGCCAAAUGUGCUUGCUACCCACUGCUAAAAAUGCAACCUGUGAUGCUCCUUAUAAGCUUUUAAUGAAGACAGACUUGAUUUCGAAUUCCAUCUUCUUUUGCUUUUCAGAGCUGUUGGAAUGUUCUGGUGCACUAGUUCUCUUCAUCUUCUGCAUUCCUCUCCUACCUGUGAAAUCCUUCACUGCCACCGAUUUAACAUAUCUCUGCCAUGUCACCCACAUCCCAAGGGAGAACAGCUGUGAGCAGAAGGACUUGCCCAGUUCACCCCAGCCUCCAGACAACAUGCUGACAUUUGGCAGUUUGACUGUGCCCUCUGCUGUUAACAGGAACACAGGAAGGACUUACAUGUCUUGAAAAGGGUUUCUAGGCAAGCCAAACUGGAUUUGAGUUUGGAAUCAAACAUUUCUUCAAACUUCUCAAAGCACACUGGCAGCUGUGAAAACAAAGGGGAAGAAGGAGAUGCAGAGAGUGAUAACCACCAGAAGAGAAAGAAUUUCCAAUGGAUGUCUACAUACCGGUCAUAUUUGUCCUUUAUUUUGUUCUUAUUCGCUUCAAAAUUUUCCAAUACAUUUUUCACUCUUCCGGCACCAAAAUUAAGAGAACCUUUUUCUCUUGUUUCUUCAUCAAAUAACUGUGGUUUUGUCUGGUAUUUGGUAAAAAUGCUGGGCUCGCUCUGUGACACAAACAAAAGAAAACUGUUGAAGUACAAAAAGAAUCAGAACAUUAAUUAGAAGAAUUCAUUUGUUUAUCCAGUGCAGACAGACUUCACAGUGAUUGGACAUGACAGAUUACACUGGAUGAGGAGAUUAAGAAUUUUGUGAGAUUAUGCCUCAUUUAGUGUCCCUAGUUAGAUCAACUCCCUGUGGAACUGAGACCCAGCCCAAAUUCCUCCAGACAUAGGCUUUUCUCUCAUCUUGAGGAUUUUCAGUUUGCUACAAUUAUAAGGUGUGCGGGGCUUUUUUCCUUCUAUGUUCAAGACAGAGACUAUAAAUGAAUUUCAGCAUUCCUGGAAUUGUGGAAAAGUUCAAGUUGUCAGUAGAAUCUCCCUGUACAGGAAUCUAAAAAAAAAAAAAAUAAUCUUAUUGAAUUGCCUGGUGGAUGACAUCAUUUUGCUGCCAACUAGCAACAUCGACAGACUGUAGAUGAGUUUUUCACAUGCUUCAAUACACAUUUUAGAACAAGAAAUUUAAUAUUAAUAUGAAAGCUUCAUUCUACAAAAUUUCCAGACACUGUGUGACCAAAAUGGAGAUGCCUUUUCCUUAAAACAUAAGAAAAUGCAAAUUCCAUUAAUGUUUUUUAAUCGUGAAAAGUGAAUUUCCUGUUUUGUGUCUGAUGAAAACUGCUCCUAGGCAAAAUGCAUAGAACAGCAGAUAACAUCUGGAACUGAAGGACAGCCUGAAGCCUCCAAGCUGGCACCACUGCCCUUCCCUAAUCUUUGCUCCAGGUGUGUUUAUUCGGAUCUCGUUCUCUCUGCUAGCUGUGCAGGAACUAUUUUAGUAGAGGCUGGUAACAUCAGAAACCAUGAGCUGUAGGAGGAACAUUGUGAGCAUAGAAAUUCUUCACCCCUAUCCAAAAUCAUCCAAGCAUCUACCUUAACAACAGAGCAGCAAGGUCACUGUCAGUGCAGGGAAGCUAACACUGAGUAGUUCUGUCAUCCUUGCAGAAAGCUAAGGAAGUGAAAUACAUAAUUUUUGGAAGAAAAAUGCAUGUAAUAUUCUAACUUGGCUAGGUAGGUGGUCUAAAGACAUUAGCUUGACAAUAAUUUCAUAUUAUUUUAGCAACUUAAAAAAUGUGAUUGAAGAAAAUAAUACCUAUCUCAAUAAUAAUUUUUAGCAAUCUGUUAUAAAUACCACGUUCAUCUCACCAGGCUGCUACUUUGUCUUGUCACAGUAAGGAUGUAUACUUAGGAAGAAGACAACUUGAUUUCAGCAGUUACUGACAUUUACAAAUGUUGCCACCUGAUUUCAGCAUUUUCCAUUAACUCUGAAUGGUGGCUGUGUGCCUGCACAGGGCUGGCUGAGGUGAGACUCACAUCCUGGGAGUUCUGCUGUCCCGGCUGUGUGCCCAGCUCCAGCGGUGCUGCUGCCGACUGCACAUUCUCCGGGCAGAACUGGGAGCCAAAGAGCAGCUGGGAAUCACUCAGACUCGAGUAGUCACUGGCAGUGUUGCUCCUUAUGGAAAACUUAUUGGACCUGAAAUGGGCAGAGAGGGAUGUGAAUGAGUCUGGAGCAAUUAAAAAGCCGAACAAAAUUCCCUACAUAGCCUGCUGGAAGUGCUACUCUGGAUAACAAUUUUUUGUAACUCAGGUGUUGCUUUGAUCAGUUGGAAGGCAGUUCUAAGAGAAUAAACCUUUCUGACUUGUAGCUGACAUUUCCUGGGCAUUUAUUCUCCAGAUGCCUUAAGUCUGACACAGUAAAAUAACAAAUAAAUAGAGGUAGCAUAUGGCAGGAUGAACUGAUAUGAAUUGUUGGAAGUAUUUCAAACAAGUUAACAUGCUACACAAAAGUGCUCUUCUUUCCCUUGAGCGUUACUCAAAUAAAUCUUUCCUAGAUACUCCUGA